CUCAGCCUCCUGAGUAGCUGGGAUUGCAGAAGUAGGACCCUUCUUUGAAUGAAACUUAGUAAGAUUCAUAUAAGUAACAGAACCUUCCAGGUCUGAGCUGAGGUGUCAUCUCUGAACACCAGGCUGCUGCACUAACCAGAAGACCCCUCCCCACCUGCAGUGGCCUCGCUGCAUCGUAAGGAUGGAGGAGCUGUUGUCUCCACAGCUGACAGGUGCUUAGUGGUUAGAAGUCUGGUUUUCGCGCGGCUUAGAUCUUUAACAUCUGAACUAGUCCUGUCAACAUAUUUUGUUAUAUUUCUGGUGGCUUUGUCUUUGAUGCUAUUAUAAAUGAUUAUCUUUUAAAAUAAUACUUUGAUGAUAUAUAGAAAUGAAAUUGAUUUAUUUGACUGUAUCCAGCAACCUUUUCAAAUUCUAAUAAAUUGUGUAGGGAAAAAAAAGUCUGGCUUCGGAGUCAGAACGGAAUUGAAUCCUGCCUCCACCACUUCCUACCUAUAUGACCUGGUGAAACUUAUCCCUCUCUGUGACUCAGUUUCCUCAUCUGUAAAAUGGGAAAAUUGAAAGCAACUAACAGGUUUGGGGCCGUUUUGCUUGCUGCUGCUGUGGCUUCAGUGCUGAGGCCUGGCACUCAGCGGGAUGUCAGCCCAGGACUGGAGCUUCUUUCUCAUGGUAUUAUUUUGAAUUUAGAUGAAAAGAGGUAUUCCAGGAGAGCUCCUGGCACAGGGCCUGGCAGGUGGCACAUCCUCAGUAAAUGUGAGCUGCUGUCAGCUGCUGUGUGAGUGCCUGGUGUGGCCCUGUUGUCCCCUUGAGGGUUGGGGGACAAAACAGGCCCUCAGGAAGCCUGCCUGUGUAUUCGGGGGCUGGGGAGAUCUCUGACCUCCUGUCUCCUAGCUCCACCAGCAUCUCUCACCUCCCCCAGCAAUGUACAACCCCUUCUUUUCCCAUAGCUUAGGCCCCUGAGGUACCAGCCCCCCAGCCUAGGGACAGCCCAGUGGCAAACUCCUGGUGACCUGGGUCAAGCUGCUGUUCUCCAAUCCCAACUCGGCUCUUCCCGUGACUUGGCCCCCAGGCCUUGGGUGAGGCUCCGAUGAAAUAACACACAGGAAUGUGCGCUGAACACUGCCAAGCACUGCAGGUGGGCAGGGGCUUUGUGCUCCCCAGCGACUGUUCCUAUCCUGCGGGAAUGGAGGAGACCGACAAAGAAGCCCCACUCCUGGGCUGACAUCCUGCCAGUGCCAGCCGGGCCUCAGCACCAGUGGGUCAGCCAGAACAGCAACGACGAACAAUGAGGCCCCAAACCCGUGGGCCCCCCACUUUCUAUCUUGAAUUUCUCUGUCUUUCCUAGGCCAGCAAUGUUUGAGAGGGAGAGCGAGCUGAAGAUUUCCUGAUUUCAGAUAGGCCUAGAGAAGGAUUGUAAUUUUCUAGUGUGAAAAGGAAGUGGCACAAAGAUGAGGGCAAUGAAGAAGAUGGUUCAAUGGAAGUACCAGGGUCCUGUAAAUAGGGAACGUGUUUUAUGAUCAAACCGUUCUUUGCAUUUUUGGUGAUUUUGAGGUUUAAUUUCCUCUAUGUAGUUAGUUAACUAUUUAACACUGAGAGCAGGGGUAGGGAUAAGGCAAACAACAAAAAAGCCAAAAUGAAACCAACUUCUGUGGGGUUUCCCCACCCCAGGGAGGUGGAGGCUGAGGUAGAACUGACUGAGAGAAUCACCCUCCCUGCACUGUGAUGAAGACACAUCCACACAUCAGGACUACACAGCUGGCAGGUGCUGGCUGUCCAGAGGAGCAAACAGCUUCUUCCUUGUGUUUCUGUGUCUCUUAGUAGAAAUCUGUGCCCUUGGGAGAAAACUGAAUUUGCACCCCUUGAGGCAAACACUUGACCAAAUGAAUUAGGCAGAUGGGUGGAUGGGUGGGUGAAUGGGCAGGAGGUGUGACAGGCAGGAGGCGUGACAGGGAAAGAACACUGUUCUGACAGGCACACACUGCCACAUCUGCCCUCCCAACAACCCCGAUACAGACACUGUUGUUAACCCUCCUUUUACAGAUGAGGAAACUGAAGUUAAUUUGCUCGUGGUAACACAGCUAGGCAAGUGGCUACGUUCAGCUGGAGAAAAGGAAAAUUCUGAAAGACUUUAGGAUACAUCUUAUUCAAAAGCAUUUGGUGAACAUAAAUAUGUACCCAAGGUAUAAUAUUAAGUGAACCAAGCUUGUUAUAAAGCAGUAUGAGUCCUGUCUGAUUCCAACUUUAUAAAAAAUAGAUGCAUAUGUCAAUAAAUGCACAGAAAAGGGUAUACCCUAAAAUGUUAAUAAUGGUGAUCUCUGGGUUAUGACACAAAAUAUUGAUUGGUCUUUGGGCUUUUCUUUAAUUUUAAAAUGUUAAUAGACAUGUAUUAUCUUAAUAAUGGGAGGAGCCACAGAAAAAGUGCUUUUCAAAAACAUGAAAUCAAUAAGCCCAUGCAGGACCUGCAGGGGGCUGCAGUCACCUGGGCCUCAUAGGCUUGGCAAAGGCUUUAGUUAUGCCCUGAUUGGAGGCCACUGGCAUGGAGAAGCUGUAGGUCAGCUAACUGGAACUAGGACAUCCAAUGUGAUUGGUUAUGUGUGCAUAUUUGUCUUUCUUCAUUGGGUCCUAAGUUGCAAGCAGGCGCAAAAAUUAAGGAAGCUGUGAGUCAAUGAAGUCCUGGCUGUUUUUCAGCUGGUUGCUAUAGGGUUGUUUUUUGACUUUCUAGACUGGUUGCUGUAGAGGUGGGUCAGAGUUUUACUUUCAUCUAUGGUCUGGCCAUUGUAUUUGUAUAUUCAGUCUCUUAGUCACCCCUUUUGGUCAUUCGCUUACUUUCAAGAGGUUGGCCAAUUCAAGGAAAGCUGGAAAUCUAGCUCUUUAUCACUCAGAGAUUAUUCAGUAAACUCCAUAUAAAACUGUAUUGCAAAAUAUUCCUGACCUUUUUGUUUUUGUAUCAUCAUGGUGAUUUUGACUAGAGAGCAGAUGUGCAGAAGCUUUUAAGAAUCUAGAUAGCACGCAGCAUCAUGUCCACUCUUACAAAGCCAGAAUAAUUAAUAGUUCCUAUAAGGUGAUUUGGAACCAGGAACCUCAAUUGCCAAAUCAAGGCCAAAAUAACAAAUUUGAUAGAUUAUGGGAUCAACCUUAGCCAAAUAGCUUAUACCAUGAAACAAUAUAUAAUAGUUCCAACUUGCUUGUUUCUUUGAUCCAAGGACAAGAAGUAUGAGCAACGGCACAGACACCAGGAUGACUAAAAGAAAAAAAAAAAAAAAACCUAGGGUAAUGUUAUUGUCUAUCACUGCCCAUGCCAAUGAGUUGAGAUUGUUCUGUAUUUGUAUCUAGGACAAAGGCAAUAUCAUCAAUAACUUCUGCCAGAGUGAGUAUCUUAGUCCAUUCAGGCUGCUGUACUAAAAUACCAUAAUUUGGGUGGCUUAUAAAGAAUAGAAAUGUAUUUCUUUCAGUUCUAGAAACUGAGAAAAUCAAGAUAAAGACGCCAGCAGACUCGAGGCCAGGUGUGAUAGCUCAUGCCUGUAAUCCCAGAACUUUGGGAGGCUGAGGUGGGUGGAUCACCUGAGGUCUGGAGUUCAAGAC
rnacentral:lncRNA from 1 species